AGCAAUGCAAAACUCGUGCACCGCAGGUGCCUUUACCCCACUUAUCUUCAGUCCCGCCAUUUGAUUGAUUUGAUCAGAGCACCUCCAUCUUCUUAGCCAAAACAAACUGUAUAAACCCCCAUGGCCACAGCUCUCUCCCUUACCGCCAUUUCCAACUUCCUCACCCCCUUCAAUCCCCCAAACCCUAACCCUAACCCUACCCUUCUCAAAUCCCGAACCCUUACUCUCACUCGCUCGUCCCUCACUGACCAAUCUCUCUCCGCCAAACAAAACCUCCUCGACCUCAUCUCGGACCAGGACCGAGGCCUCAAGACCCAGACCGACCCUUCAAAGCUUUCCGAGAUUAUCAAAGUCAUCGAUUCCAUGGCCGUGCUGGGCACUGAUAAAGUCACCACCGGUCCCUCGCUGUCCGCCACGUGGAGGCUGCUGUGGACAACGGAGAAAGAACAGCUCUUCAUCAUCAAGAACGCGUUUCUUUUCGGAACUCGAGCCGGAGAUGUUUUACAGGUUAUUGAUGUGGAGAAGGGUGUUCUGAACAAUGUAAUUACUUUUCCUCCUCAUGGGGUUUUCUUUGUGAGGUCUACUAUCGAAAUUGCUUCGCCUCAGAGAGUCAAUUUUAGGUUUACAAGUGCAGUUCUACGUGGGGAGAGUUGGGAACUUCCGUUACCACCAUUUGGGCAGGGGUGGUUUGAGUCUGUAUACCUCGAUGACGAGAUUCGAGUUGUGAAGGACAUUCGGGGAGACUAUUUAGUUGUGGAUCGAGCUCCUUAUAGUUGGAAAGAAUGAAGGCAAGACUUGUACAAUAUUGCGUCGAUUUUUUUUGGCACGUGUGUCAGCCACUUGGCCUCCACUUGAACAACUCUUGGCAAUCAUCUAUUGGGUAGUUCUCAUAAUACAUUUUUGCUGCACAACUGCUUCGAAGGAGCAUAGCUUCAAAUGAGAAAUGGCCUGUUAUGGAAAUACUACUUCAAUUAGUUCCUUUAAAGAGACAUCAAGUUCUAUUUUAGUUCAAAUCUGUAUACCUAGAUGAUGAUAUUCGAGUUGCAAAAGAUAUCCGUGGAGAUUAUUUAGUUGUUGAUCACGCGCCUUACGAAUGGACAGAAUGAGUUUUCUCAGUUGGAGUUCCUUGAACUCAAGACUUUGCCCUUUAACGCUGAUUUCCUUUCCUUGGAACUCAGGUUUCAUUCAGAUGGCACUUUUAACUCCUUGUAAUUAAUCAUGGAACUUCAUGGUUGGAAAGGGUUACUCUGUCGUGUAGAUAUUGUGUCUCUUCUCUGUAUAGUUCAUCAGAAUAUUGAUUUUAAGCUCUCGUCAUUUGUAUAUUGUCAACUUUUACUUAA